AACGAACGCUGGCGGCAGGCUUAACACAUGCAAGUCGAACGGUUGUAGCAAUACAGCAGUGGCGCACGGGUGAGUAACGCGUGGAUAUCUGCCUUUUGGUUCGGAAUAACCCCGGGAAACUGGGGCUAAUACCGGAUGGUUCCUUCGGGAUAAAGAUUUAUCGCCAAAAGAUGAGUCCGCGUACGAUUAGCUAGUUGGUGAGGUAAUGGCUCACCAAGGCGACGAUCGUUAGCUGGUCUGAGAGGACGAUCAGCCACACUGGGACUGAGACACGGCCCAGACUCCUACGGGAGGCAGCAGUGGGGAAUAUUGGACAAUGGGGGCAACCCUGAUCCAGCCAUGCCGCGUGAGUGAUGAAGGCCUUCGGGUUGUAAAGCUCUUUUGGCGGGGACGAUGAUGACGGUACCCGCAGAAUAAGCCCCGGCUAACUUCGUGCCAGCCGCCGCCGUAA
rnacentral:rRNA from 1 species